rnacentral:lncRNA from 1 species
CAGGGUGACGCGGCGGGCGACAGCGGUAAGGUCCUCCCGGACAGGCCCAGGGGCGAGGCGGCCGCGCAGGCGGAAAAGCCCAACAGCAAAACGUUCUUGGCGGCAGCGCAACAACGAGAACCGCGAGAACGCGUCCAGCAACAGCGACCACGACGACGUCACCUCGGGCACGCCCAAGGAGAAGAAAGCCCAGACCUCCAAGAAGAAGCAGAGCUCCAUGGCCAAGGUGUAGCGGCAGGCGUCCGCCGCAGACCUCCCCAUCGACUCCAGCGAGCGCUUCUAAUGAGAGAUGAUCCGCUGCGACAACGAAUGCCCCAUCGAGUGGUUCCGUUUCUCGUAUGCUUUACAGGAAGCAUGGUGCAGGCAUCUGCUUCUGAGCAGGUCUCAGGAAGCUUACAAUCAUGGCAGAAGGUGAAGGGGAGCCAGCAUGUUACAUGACGAGAGCGGAAGCAAGACAGAGAAGGAGGAGGUGCCACAUUCUUUCAAACAACCAGAUCUCAGUGAACUAAAAGAGAACUCACUCAUCACCAAGGGGAUGAUGCUAAGCCAUUCAUGAGGGAUCUGCCCCCAUGACCCAAACACCUCGCACCAUGCCUCGCUUCCAACAUUGGGGAUCACCUUUCAACAUGAGACUUGUAGAGGACAAACCUCCAAACCAUAUCAACAUGUUUCGUAUAUUGAGUCUUGCUAUUCAUGAAUCUGGAAUGUCUCUCCACUUAUUUAAGUCUUAUUUAAGUGUUUAAUAUAUUUCAGUAAAAUUUCAUUAUUUUCUGCAUAAAGGUCUUGAAAAUCUUUUAUUUAGAUUUAUUUUUUUAUUUUUUUAAUUUUUGAAAUGGUGUCUCGCUCUGUAACCCAGGCUGGAGUGCAGCGGCGCGAUCUCGGCUCUGCAACCUCCACCUCCCGGGCUCAAGUGAUUCUCCUGCCUCUCAGCCUCCUGAGUAGCUGGGACUACAGGCUCUUGCCACCACGCCCAGCUAAUUUUUUUGUAUUUUUAGUAGAGACGAGGUUUCACCAUAUUGGCCAGGCUGGUCUCAAACUCCUGACCUCGUGAUCCACCUGCCUCGGCCUCCCAAAGUGCUGGGAUUACAGGCGUGAGCCACCACACCCCAACCCCUCUAGCUUCUUCUACCUUUGCCUACCCAUUGGACACUGGGUCUUUUCCCAAGUUGGGCCAGCCCUCAUCUCGGUAACUUUACAUUAUGUCCAUUAGCUAAUGACAUUAACAACCCAACCUUUCUCCUGAGCUCCACUAUUUCCAGCUACUUACUGAACAUCUCCACUUGGAUGUCUCCCAGACAUCUCACUCACCAAAUUUGACACUUAAUUCAUUACCAUCUUGAACCCAAAACCUAUUCCUUAAGUUCUUCCACAAUCACGUCCCACCCCCAUCCCUGAUUUCCUAAGACAAAAACCUGGAAGAAUUCCACUCUCCUCUUUGCCUAUUACACUCCCAGAAACGCUAGCAAUAUUUCAGUUCCUCAAAUACACCAACCUCUUUUUUGCCUCAGAGCCUUUGAUCUUACUAUUCAUUCUACCUAGAAUGAUCUUCCCCUGGCUCAAUGCAUGGAUGGCUCUUUCUUAUCUUCAAGUCUCAGCUAAAAUGCCACCUCAUUAUUAGACACCUUCUCUGUCUACCUAUCUAAAGUAGGAUGGCCUCUACUCCAACCCAGUCACAAUUACUUUAAUACAUCACCUUCUUUUACUUCUCACAGUUUGUGUUUACUUGUUUACUGUCUGUUCUUUUCCACUGGAAUGCAAGCUCCAUGAGAAUAGGAUUUAUAUCAAUGUUUUCCCUGCUAUAUUGCCAGGGCCUAGAACAGUGUCAGGUGCAUGGUGGGUACACUAUAUUUAUUGACUGGAUUAAUGAAUCUUAUAUGCCUCCUUAUUCCUUGUCUGCCAAUAAUAGUCAGUCACCAAAUGCAGUUGAGUCUAUCUGCUAAACAUCUCCCAAAUCUAGCCCAUAUUCUCCAACCCAGUCAUUGCUUUAAUUGAAGCACUCAUCACCUCUCACCGUAUAGUCUUCUAACAGGUGCUUUUUCCUCAAGCCUGGCCCCUUCCCUAAUACAUUCACUACAUUCAGUAUAUACAUACUCUGAAACCAGUGCUAAUCUCUCUGCAACCAAACUAACUCUAAUCACAUCCUUCACCUGUGUAAAAUUCUGCAUUGUCAAUCAAGAUCAAGUCCAAACUCCUUACCAUAGCCUAUAAAUCCUUUGAGAACUCUUCCUUUCCUUCCUUCCUUCCUUCCUUCCUUCCUUCCUUCCUUCCUUCCUUCCUCCCUCCCUCCCUCCCCUCCCUCCCUCUCUCUCUCUCUCUCUCUCUCUUUCUUUCUUUCUUUUCUUGUUUUGCUCUUGUCACCCAGGCUGGAGUGCAGCGGCACGAUCUUGGCUCACUACCUCUGCUUCCCGGGUUCAAGCGAUUCUCAUGCCUCAGCCUCCUGAGUAGCUGGGAUUACAGGCGCCUGACACCACGCCCAGCUAAUUUUUGUACUUUUGAUAGAGACGUGGUUUCACCAUGUUGCCCAGGCUGGUCUCGAACUCUUGACUUCAGGUGAUCGCCCUCCUUGGCCUUCCAAACUGGUGGGAUUAUAGGCAUGAGCCACCGUGCCCAGCCAGAGGCCCUGUUUCAUAAUCUGCCCUGCCUUCUUCACCUUUCCCCAACCCUCACCUUCCUUCCCCAUAUACCCAAUGCUCCAAUUAUACUGGACUACUCGUAGCUCUCCAAAUAUUUCAUGAUAGUUCAUGUCUCUGGUUUUGUUGUUGUUGUUGUUGUUACUUUUAAGACUCGGGGUAUCAUGCUGUGUUGCCCAGGCUGGAAUGCAGUGGCUCCAUGUAGUGACUCACAGCUCACUGUAGCUUCCUCGAAUUCCUAGGGUAAAGUGAUUCUCCCACUUCACCCUCCCAAGUAGCUAGGACUAGAGGUGCACACCACCAUGCCCUGCUAAUUUAAAAAAGUGUUGUUUGUUUGUUUGUUUGUUUGUUUUUAAGAGAUGUAUUCUCACUAUGGUAAUGUCUCAAACUCAUGGCCUCAAGUGAUCAUCCCGCCUCAGCCUCUCAAAUCACCGGUAUUACAGGC